rnacentral:lncRNA from 1 species
UAUUUUUUGUAGAGAUAGGGUUUCACCAUGUUGCCCAGGCUGGUCUUGAAUUCCUGGGCCCAAUUGAUCUGCCUGCCUCAGCCUCUCCAAAUGCUGGCAUUACAGGCCACCAUGCCUGACUUAUUUGGGGUUUUUUGGUUUGUUUGCAUGGCUAGUUUUCUUUUUUAGAGAUGGAAUCUUGCUCUGUAGCCCAAUGGCAUGACAUUGACUCACUGCAACCUCCACCUCUUGGGUUCAAGCGAUUCUGCCUCAGACUCCCGAGUAGCUGGGAUUACAGGUGUGCACCACCACACCUGGCUAAUUUUUGUAUUUUUGUAGAGAUGGGAUUUUAUCAUGUUCAUGUUAGCCAGGCUGAUCUUGAACUUCUGAUCUCAUGAUCCGCCCACCUCGGCCUCCCAAAUUGCUGGGAUUACAGGUGUGGGCCACUGCACCUGGCUUGUUUGUUUUUUAAAUUAAGAAACAGGGUCUCUAUUGCCCAGGCUGGAGUGCAGUGGUGUGAUCAUGGCUCACUGCAGCCUCAAACUCUUGGGUUCAAGUGAUCCUCCUGCCUCAGCCUCCCAAGUAGCUGAGAAUCAGGCAUGUGCCACCACACUCAGCUUAUUUGUUGUUUAUUUAUUAAUUGCAGAGAUGGGAUGUCACAAUGUGCCUCAGGCUGGUCUCAAACCCCUAGGGUCAAGCACCCCUCCUGCCUUAGCCUCCCAAAGUGCUGGUGUUAUAGGCAUGAGCCACUUUGCCUGGCCAGGAUAUAAUGUUUUUAUUUAUCUAUUUAUCUAUUUUUUUCUGAGACAGAGUCUUGCUCUGUUGCCCAGGCUGGAGUGCAGUGGUGCAAUCUUGGCUCACUGCAACCUCCACCUCCCCAGUUCAAGUGAUUCUCCUGCCUCAGCCUCCUGAGUAGCUGGGAUUACAGGUAAUACAGAGAACACCACAAAGAUAUUCCUCAAGAAGAGCAACCCCAAGGCACAUAAUCGUUAGAUUCACCAGGGUUGAAACGAAGGAGAGGAUACUAAGGGCAGCCAGAGAGAAAGGUCAGAUAACCCACAAAGGCAAGCCUAUCAGACUUACAGCAGAUCUCUCGGCAGAAACUCUACAGGCCAGAAGAGAGUGGGGGCCAAUAUUCAACAUCCUCAAAGAACAGAACCUUCAGCCCAGAAUUUCAUAUCCAGCCAAACUAAGCUUCACAACUGAAGGAAAAAUAAAAUCUUUUAUGAACAAGCAAGAACUCAGAGAUUUUAUUACCACCAGGCCUGCUUUACAAGAGCUUCUGAAAGAAGCAUUACACACAGAAAGAAACAACCAGUAUUAGCCUUUCUAAAAAUACACCAAAAAGUAAAGAGCACCAACUUAAAGAAGAAUUUACACCAACAAAUGGAUAAAACAGCCAUUCAACAUCAAAUGGCAGUAACCCUAAAUUUAAAUUGACUAAAUUUCCAAUCAAAAGACACAGCCAAAACCCAACGGCAUGUUACCUCCAGACCUGUUUCACAUGCAAGGAUACACAAAGACUCAAAACAAAGGGAUGGAGAAAGAUUUACCAACCAAAUGGAGAGCAAAAAUAAAUAAUAAAUAAAUAAAAAGCAGGAGUUGCAAUUCUCGUAUCGGAUAAAAUAGAUUUUAAAGCAACAAAGGUAUAGUGGUAAAAGGAUCAAUGCAACAAGAGCUAACGAUCCUAACACCCAGAUAGGAGACUUAGAUUCAAUGAGACAGAAAAUUAAUAAGGAUAUCAAGGACUCGAACUCAGAUCCGGAACAAGUAAACUUAAUAAAUAUUUAUAGAGCUCUCCACUUCAAAUACACAAAAUAUACAUUCUUGUCAAUACCACAUCACACCUACCCAUUAGUUUAAAUAAAACAUUGAUUGGCCAUUAUUAAUACCCAAUUUUUUUUCAAAAUAAAGCAAUAUUUCCAUUUACUCUCCCUCUUUCUCUUCCUCUUUCUUCCUCUCCUUUACUUUUUUUUUUUUCUUUCCUUCUCUCAAAAAAAAAUAAAUCAACUUGUAAACCUUUAGAUCCAGGUCGGCAAUGUCUCUUUCAUUGCUUGAUUUCCUUUCUUCCCUUCCCUCCCUCCCUCCCUCCCUCCCUCCCCGCUUCCUCCCUUCCUUCCUUCCUUCAUCCCUUCCUUCCUCCCUACCGUCCUUCUUCCCUUCCUUCCUGCCUUCCUCCCCCCUCCCCCCCAAAAAAAAAAAAGAAAAUAUACUGUGAGUUUAAUUAUUGUUUGUUUUACUGAAAGGCAAGCCUCAAAAGUUCCUGGGUGAAAAGGAGAAUGCAGCCAGGCAUGAUGGCUCACUCAUGCCUGUAAUCCCAGUACUUUGAGAGACCUAGGUGGGAGAAUGAUUUGAGCCCAGGAGUUCGAGACCAGCCAGGGCAACAUAGCAAAACCUCGUAUCUAUUUAAAAACAAAACAAAAAAACAGGAGUGGGCUCACACUGUCCAGUAGAACUUGAGGUUGGACUGGGCUGGAGGGUCCACCCAAUGGUGUCUUGUUCCAGAAUGAUUCUAAAGCCUUAAUAAUGGAUGUACUGGAAACAGUGGCUCCCUGUAAUCCCAGUGCUUUGGGAGGCUGAAGCAGGAGGAUCACUUCAGGCCAAGGGUUUGAGACCAGCCUGGGCAACACAGUGAGACCUCAUCUCAGAAAUAAAAAUUAAAAAAAAAAAAGAAUGGGUGUGGCUGCAACUUCAUUUGGUGACACGGCCUGGGUGAGAGGUAUAAUACUGGUUGUGAAAUACUAUUAGCCACCAUUUAUCAGCACCUCCUGCAUUCCAGGUGUUCUGCUAGCUGCUUUGUAUCUUGUCUCAAAGUCAAAUCAUCUCAUGAUCAGUCACAGUGGUUAGUCAGUCCUCAGGGCUAGUACAUCUGCUUCUCCACAUUCCCUGUUGCUCUGUUCAUUUCUUUCUUUUUUUUAGGCAGAGUCUUGCUCUUGUUGCCCAGGCUGGAGUGCAAUCACAUGAUCUCAGCUCACUACAACCUCCACCUCCUGGGUUCAAGCAAUUCUCUUGCCUCAGACUCCUGAGUAGCUGGGUUUACAGGCAUGCACCACCACGCCCAGCUAACUUUUGUAUUUUUAAUAGAGACGGGAUUUCUCCAUGUUGGUCAGUCUGGUCUCGAACUCCCAACCUCAGGUGAUCCACCUGCCUGAAACUCCCAAAGUGCUGGGCUUACAGGCAUAAGCCACUGCACCCAGCCCACUCUGUUCAUUUCUACUUUAUUAACUUUGAUGUAUACACCUUCUCAAUCUUAAGCCACUGCAAAUUAUUGUUAGAAAGAGGAAGCAUACAAAUAAGGAAAACAAAUGUUUGGCAUGAUUUUCUAAAGAGUGAUCAGUUGUGAAGGCUUUGUUUCUUCUUAAAUUCUAAAGAAUAGGAGAUGUAUGCAUACUUCUUACUAGGAAGAAAACCACCACCAUUCUUGUAAUUUUGCUAAUAUUUACUUUGUUGAAACAGUGGUAUUUUAUGCAAACAAAACAGAAAAGUCUUUAUUUGGGCAGGGCAGAGGCAAAGGCCUUUUCUCUAUUACUAAGAAUGCGUUGAGCAUCCCUAAUCUGAAAAAUGCAAAAUCCAAAAUCCAAAACUUUUUGAGCACCAACAUAAUACUCAAAGGAUUGGAGAAUUUUGGAUUUUGGGUUUUUGGAUUAGGGAUGCUCAACUGGUAAUUACAUAAUGUCAAUAUUUAAAAAACAAAAAAGAAAAACACUCUCAAAUUCAAAGCAUUUCAGAGAAGAGAUACUCAACCUGCAUUCUGGAAGAAGGCUUUGUCAUUUCCAUCACUGUCCAUGGAUUGUAAUGGACUUGUGGGGUGUCAAGUCUUCUAGAAUGAAAUCUGACUCACUCUCCUUUCCAAUAUAAAUAAUGUGUAGUCACAGACAUAGAAUCUUUGCACUUAUCUUCAGGAACAAUGUAUGUAGGUAUGUGUGUGUAUAAAUAUGUAAACCAAAAUUAGUACUCUAAGCCAAUUGAUGGACCCUUUCCCCUUGGCCAAGGGCAAUCCAAAGUUAACCUGAAAACCUAGUUCAGGGCAUGACAGGAAGUGGAUGUGUUAUACAUGCCUCCUUAUUCCCUCCUCCCUUUUGGAAUUCAGGACCAGUUGACCUGCAUUAACAUCACACAGAGACCUAAAGACUGAUAGGACAGACUCUUUAAGUCGAAUAAGAAACAUUUACGAUCUAUUCUCUCUGAAGCCUGCUACCUGGAGGCUUCAUCUACAGAUAAAACCUUCAUCUCUACAACCCCUUAUCUUCACCCAAACAUUCUAGGUCUUUAGAUAAGAAUUCUUUCAACCAAUUGCCAAUCAGAAAAAUCUUUAAAUCUGCCUAUCACCUGGAAUGCCACCCUCACCUUCCAGUUGUCCUACCUUUCCAGACCAAACCAAUGUACAUCUUACAUGUGUUGAUUGAUAUCUCAUGUCUCCCUAAAAUGUAUAAAAUCAAGCUCUAGCCUGACUACCUUGGGCACAUGUUCUUAGGAUCUCCAGGUGCUGUGUCACAGGCCAUUCAUUGGUCAGUCAUAUUUGGCUCAGAAUAAAUCAUCAGGCCUCCAUGUGCAAGCCUGGACCCAGAAAGCCUAAAGUCCUGCCUGCCUCGACCAAUCACCACCCCCUAGACCCCGAUACUGCUACCCCCAACCCCACCCUCCC